rnacentral:rRNA from 1 species
UGGGGGAUAUUGCACAAUGGGCGAAAGCCUGAUGCAGCGACGCCGCGUGGGGGAUGAAGGCUUUCGGGUUGUAAACCUCUUUCGCUAUCGAACAAGGCCCGCUUAGGGUGGGUUGAGGGUAGGUGGAGAAGAAGCGCCGGCUAACUACGUGCCAGCAGCCGCGGUAAUACGUAGGGCGCGAGCGUUGUCCGGAAUGAUUGGGCGUAAAGGGCUGGUAGGCGGAUUGUUGCGCCUGCUGUGAAAACGCGGGGCUUAACUUCGCGCGUGCAGUGGGUACGGGCAGGCUUGAGUGUGGUAGGGGUGACUGGAAUUCCAGGUGUAGCGGUGGAAUGCGCAGAUAUCUGGAGGAACACCGAUGGCGAAGGCAGGUCACUGGGCCAUUACUGACGCUGAGGAGCGAAAGCAUGGGUAGCGAACAGG